rnacentral:rRNA from 1 species
GAAAGAAUAUCGGAGACGGAUGGGCAUGCGGCGCAUUAGCUAGUUGGCGGGGUAACGGCCCACCAAGGCGACGAUGCGUAGGGGUUCUGAGAGGAAGGUCCCCCACACUGGUACUGAGACACGGACCAGACUCCUACGGGAGGCAGCAGUGAGGAAUAUUGGUCAAUGGGCGAGAGCCUGAACCAGCCAAGUCGCGUGAGGGAGUACUGCCCUAUGGGUUGUAAACCUCUUUUGUCGGGGAGCAAAAGCCGGACGUGUCCGGCUGUGAGAGUACCCGAAGAAAAAGCAUCGGCUAACUCCGUGCCAGCAGCCGCGGUAAUACGGAGGAUGCGAGCGUUAUCCGGAUUUAUUGGGUUUAAAGGGUGCGCAGGCGGAUUUUUAAGUCAGCGGUCAAAUCGUGGGGCUCAACCCCAUCCAGCCGUUGAAACUGGGAAUCUAGAGUGUGCGAGAGGUAUGCGGAAUGCGUGGUGUAGCGGUGAAAUGCAUAGAUAUCACGCAGAACCCCGAUUGCGAAGGCAGCAUACCGGUGCACAACUGACGCUCAGGCACGAAAGCGUGGGUAUCGAACAGGAUUAGAUACCCUGGUAGUCCACGCAGUAAACGAUGAAUGCUACCUGUUUGGCCAGAUUGAAGGCUGA